CAAAGACUAUAGUAGUACCAUCUGUUGACUCGUAGAAUGCCAGAAAUGGUGUGCAAGUUUUCUGUGGGCGUCUGUGUAGUAAUGCCCCUCCUGUAUACUAAGGAGCCAAUAAGACGGAUAAUCUGAGAGCUUAUCAACCAAGAAGGAACCAUGUUGGAUGGAAAGUUGUAAGGAACACGAAAGCAGGGAGAGAGUUCCGAGGACCUAGUAGAUUUAAGCUAAAUUAUCUCAGUUGAAGAGCCCUCCAUAUCUCGAGUUUUCCCCGUCCAAGACGACCCUGGACAGAAAUCCUGAGAAUCUCUGGAAGAAGAAGUAGUAGAAGAAGACCGGAAUGUCCAGGUGUAAUGAUCUACCCAAGGUAUUUCACCUUUUGGAAGACGAUCACCUGGCAGAGGAAAAGUGGAUCUAGAUUUCGUCUUUUCAAGGGAAGGUUCCACCGUUAGUCUCUGUCUUACAGAUUGGUUGUAAAGGGUUCAGAAAAGGAUGGAUUUUCUUCUUCUCUUAAGUUUCUCUGUAACGGAUGGGGUUUGAAAAAAUUAAGAACACGGAUGGAUUUGUUUCUUCUUGAAGCCUUGAUAUUUUUUCUCGUCUUCAGAAACUGGAAAGGAGAAGGAAACAAACAUUAG